GCCUCGACAUGAUUGAAGAUAGCAAUGGAGCUCCGCAAUGUCUUUUUUAAAAUGUCGGGUGGAAGCGGAAAGCUACUGCGUGAAAGCCCUUCAUUCCAAAACCUGAAGCCCAGGAAAGACCAGGAAAAAGUGUUGGCUUAAGGCUCGGUGGGUGACCGGUAACAAUGAUUCAACCAAGCUGUUCCAGGCCUGGAGUGGCACGCUGGAACUUCCAGAGGCUUGUAGACCUGAAGCAGUGUGAUGUGAUCCUGAUCUGACAUCCCUAUUACCUCAACCACAGUCCUCACAGCUGAAGUCGUCUGCCCCUGCACCUGCUACACCAGCCACGACAGGUGAUACAGAUCUGCCACCCCCAGCAGUUCAGCUGCAGUCACAGCAGUCCUCUGCUGUGGUAUUUCAUUUACCGGCUGCACCAGUUCCUACUACACUGGCCAUGAAGGGAGAUACUAUUGAGGAGACCCAGAUGGAUACAGAUCUGCCAUGCACUCCACCAGUGCCUGACAGACUCAUCUCUGAGAAAGCAGAGAUGGGUGGCUGACAAGGAAAAAUAAAACACAACACACACUCUCUCUCUGUCAUACACACUCACACACAUUAUCCCCAGUGUAAAUGAGUUGUAUUUACUUGUUUAUUUUAUGUUUGCUCAAUUUGAUUUUAGGAUUUGAGAUAUCUAUUCCUACAUAUCCAUUCUCAAUAUCUACAUAAUUACUCUAAAUAUCUAUCAAAUCAAAGUGUUAUUGAUAUUGUAAAAGACUUGCUUAAUUUGUAUAGUUUGAGGAAAUUCUGUGUGCUUUUAAAAAACAUGCCUCCCUCUCACACACACAUUAGACCCAAUGUAAAUACAUUGUUUAAGUUAUGUAUGCUCCAUUUUGUUUGAGGAUUGUCAAAUCAAAGUUUUUUUGUCACGUGUGCUGAAUACAACAUGUGUAGACCUUA